GUUGACAACGCAGUCCAAGAUAGCUAACCAGUUGUUGUUAUGAAAUGGAUGCUGUUGAAGCUACCAAGAAAUUCGUAAGUUCAAAGUGCGAUUGGAAUAUUUUCCAGUAGUUAUUCGGCUUCAACCAGUGACCCAGUUACUAAAAUCGAGCAGGAACUUGUUCUUCAGGCGAAAUCAAAGGCUGAUUUGGCAGUUAACGAAAUGCAGAAAAUGGCUAUAGAGUCAGGCAUCCUGUUUUGAGACUCGCUGGUCUUUCAGGAGCAGCUGCAGUAAUAUUGGGAGCAUAUGGUGCACUGCACACGCUUUCUUGAAAAAGGAAGAUGUCACCAAUGAAUUCAAGCAGGUCUUCGAAACUGCCAACAAUAAGUAUCAUUUUCUACAUUCAAUUGCUUUAUUGGGUGUUCCACUGUGCCGCAGACCUCAACUGGUAAUAAUAUGUUUUUUUCUCUUAAUAAGAUAUUAGAUUUAUUUGUUAAAUAAUCUUGUUAAGUUUUUCAUAUUCUUGGAAAAGUAACUGAAUUGAGCACACCAAUUAUUUAUCUUUUUUCGCUUCACAAGACUGGUACCCUCCUGAUUCUAGGAACCUUGAUUUUUUCUGGCACAUGCUACUACUAUGCCUUAACUGAAGAACGCUGGAUUCUCAUGUACACGCCAUACGGAGGGUUCUUACUUAUUUUUGGUUGGCUUUCUAUGGCUCUGUAAUAAUGCAUUACAUUAUAACUUCUAUCAUUA